rnacentral:rRNA from 1 species
AGUGAACGCUGGCGGUAGGCCUAACACAUGCAAGUCGAACGGCAGCACAGUAAGAGCUUGCUCUUACGGGUGGCGAGUGGCGGACGGGUGAGGAAUACAUCGGAAUCUACUUUUUCGUGGGGGAUAACGUAGGGAAACUUACGCUAAUACCGCAUGCGACCUACGGGUGAAAGCAGGGGAUCUUCGGACCUUGCGCGACUGAAUGAGCCGAUGUCGGAUUAGCUAGUUGGCGGGGUAAAGGCCCACCAAGGCGACGAUCCGUAGCUGGUCUGAGAGGAUGAUCAGCCACACUGGAACUGAGACACGGUCCAGACUCCUACGGGAGGCAGCAGUGGGGAAUAUUGGACAAUGGGCGCAAGCCUGAUCCAGCCAUACCGCGUGGGUGAAGAAGGCCUUCGGGUUGUAAAGCCCUUUUGUUGGGAAAGAAAAGCAGCAGGUUAAUACCCCGCUGUUCUGACGGUACCCAAAGAAUAAGCACCGGCUAACUUCGUG